rnacentral:rRNA from 1 species
UACGGAGGGGGCGAGCGUUGUCCGAAGUUACUGGGCGUAAAGGGCGCGUAGGCGGCUUGACAAGUCACUUGUGAAAUCUCCGGGCUUAACUCGGAACGGCCAAGUGAAACUGUCAUGCUAGAGUGCAGAAGGGGCAAUCGGAAUUCUUGGUGUAGCGGUGAAAUGCGUAGAUAUCAAGAGGAACACCUGAGGUGAAGACGGGUUGCUGGGCUGACACUGACGCUGAGGCGCGAAAGCCAGGGGAGCAAACGGG